CGAGAGGACCGGGAAGGACGCACCUCUGGUGUACCAGUUAUCGUGCCUACGGUAAACGCUGGGUAGCCAAGUGCGGAGAGGAUAACUGCUGAAAGCAUAUAAGUAGUAAGCCCACCCCAAGAUGAGUGCUCUCUCCUCCGACUUCCCUAGAGCCUCCGGUAUCACAGCCGAGACAGCGACGGGUUCUCCACCCAUACGGAGAUGGAGCGACAGAAGUAUGGAAAUAGGAUAAGGUAGCGGCGAGACGAGCCGUUUAAAUAGGUGUCAAGUGGAAGUGCAGUGAUGUAUGCAGCUGAGGCAUCCUAACGAACGAACGAUUUGAACCU
rnacentral:ncRNA from 1 species